AGAGUUUGAUCCUGGCUCAGGAUGAACGCUGGCGGCAUGCCUAAUACAUGCAAGUCGAACGAGGAUCCUUGUGGAUCCUAGUGGCGAACGGGUGAGUAACACGUAGGGAACCUGCCCGCGCACCGGGAAUACGCUCUGGAAACGGAGAACAAAUCCCGAUGUACAGGAAGGAGGCAUCUUCUUUCUGUGAAACAUCCUGUAAGGGAUGGGGCGCGGAUGGACCUGCGGUGCAUUAGUUGGUUGGCGAGGGUAAAGGCCCACCAAGACGAUGAUGCAUAGCCGGCCUGAGAGGGCGGACGGCCACAUUGGGACUGAGACACGGCCCAGACUCCUGCGGGAGGCAGCAGUAGGGAAUUUUCGUCAAUGGGCGCAAGCCUGAACGAGCGAUGCCGCGUGAGUGAAGAAGGCCUUCGGGUCGUAAAGCUCUGUUGCGGGGGAAAAAAGGCAUCUGCAGGAAAUGGUAGAUGACAGAUGGUGCCCCGCCAGAAAGUCACGGCUAACUACGUGCCAGCAGCCGCGGUAAUACGUAGGUGGCGAGCGUUAUCCGGAAUGAUUGGGCGUAAAGGGUGCGCAGGCGGUCCUGCAAGUCUGGAGUGAAACGUAUGAGCUCAACUCAUGCAUGGCUCUGGAAACUG
rnacentral:rRNA from 1 species